UCCACCCCUAGAAGAAUUGCAGAUAUGGCUGCUGUGACACAUGUAUGUCAACAGGUGGCAGAGCGUACAGAGGUCAUGUCUAUGCUUGGUGUUCUGAAGAUGAAUAUUUGAGUAAUUAGUGGCAUAGCAUU
ensembl:snoRNA LOC120097616 small nucleolar RNA SNORA17